rnacentral:rRNA from 1 species
AUUGAACGCCGGCGGCAGGCCUAACACAUGCAAGUCGAGCGGAUGAAGGGAGCUUGCUCCUGGAUUCAGCGGCGGACGGGUGAGUAAUGCCUAGGAAUCUGCCUGGUAGUGGGGGAUAACGUCCGGAAACGGGCGCUAAUACCGCAUACGUCCUGAGGGAGAAAGUGGGGGAUCUUCGGACCUCACGCUAUCAGAUGAGCCUAGGUCGGAUUAGCUAGUUGGUGGGGUAAAGGCCUACCAAGGCGACGAUCCGUAACUGGUCUGAGAGGAUGAUCAGUCACACUGGAACUGAGACACGGUCCAGACUCCUACGGGAGGCAGCAGUGGGGAAUAUUGGACAAUGGGCGAAAGCCUGAUCCAGCCAUGCCGCGUGUGUGAAGAAGGUCUUCGGAUUGUAAAGCACUUUAAGUUGGGAGGGAGGGCAGUAAGUUAAUACCUUGCUGUUUUGACGUUACCAACAGAAUAAGCACCGGCUAACUUCGUG